rnacentral:rRNA from 1 species
UACGUAGGGUGCAAGCGUUGUCCGGAAUUAUUGGGCGUAAAGAGCUCGUAGGCGGUCUGUCGCGUCGGAUGUGAAAACCCAGGGCUCAACCCUGGGCCUGCAUUCGAUACGGGCAGACUAGAAUUCGGUAGGGGAGUCUGGAAUUCCUGGUGUAGCGGUGAAAUGCGCAGAUAUCAGGAGGAACACCGGUGGCGAAGGCGGGACUCUGGGCCGAUAUUGACGCUGAGGAGCGAAAGCGUGGGGAGCGAACAGGAUUAGAUACCCUGGUAGUCCACGCCGUAAACGUUGGGCGCUAGGUGUGGGGAACCUUCCACGUUCUCCGUGCCGCAGCUAACGCAUUAAGCGCCCCGCCUGGGGAGUACGGCCGCAAGGCUAAA